AUUGAACGCUGGCGGCAGGCCUAACACAUGCAAGUCGAGCGAGCGGCGGACGGGUGAGUAAUGUCUGGGAAACUGCCUGAUGGAGGGGGAUAACUACUGGAAACGGUAGCUAAUACCGCAUACCAUCAGAUGUGCCCAGAUGGGAUUAGCUAGUAGGUGGGGUAACGGCUCACCUAGGCGACGAUCCCUAGCUGGUCUGAGAGGAUGACCAGCCACACUGGAACCGGGACACGGGCCCGGCUCCUACGGGAGGCAGCAGUGGGGAAUAUUUCACAAUGGGCGCAAGCCUGAUUCAGCCAUUGCGCGUGUGUGAAGAAGGGCUUCCGGUUGGAAAGUACUUUCCGCGGGGGGGCCGUACCCGCAGAAGAAGCACCGGCUAACUCCGUGCCAGCAGCCGCGGUAAUAC
rnacentral:rRNA from 1 species